ensembl:lncRNA
GAACAACUCUAUCCAUUGUAGAGGUCCUUAGUCAGCACCAUGCUCCCAUCGGUCCCUAUCAUAAUGCUGUUGUGGAUGCCAUCCUGCCACCUCUGAUAACAUUGGCUUUUAGCAGAAAUGUGGAGUGGGCUGUGUUUGUUUUGAGGGUGCUGUCUGAACUCAGUCUGGUCCUGCUGGUCCAGGAUGGAGGGGAUACUGAGCAAUAUAAGGAGGAGACAGAUGAAAAGAAAGAGAGAAACGAGAAAGCAGAAAGGGCAGGAGAGGGAAAAGAGGAUGGAACCUCCUGUAGUCAAAUCUUAUCUGUCAUCACUAAGUCUCUGCUACCAAGGUCAGUGUGUGGAUUGCUUCUCUCUAUUGUAGUAUUUUAUCAAACACAAUGGCUUUAUUAUGCU